rnacentral:rRNA from 1 species
UACGAAGGGGGCUAGCGUUGCUCGGAAUCACUGGGCGUAAAGCGCACGUAGGCGGCUUCUUAAGUCAGGGGUGAAAUCCUGGAGCUCAACUCCAGAACUGCCUUUGAUACUGGGAAGCUCGAGUCCGGGAGAGGUGAGUGGAACUGCGAGUGUAGAGGUGAAAUUCGUAGAUAUUCGCAAGAACACCAGUGGCGAAGGCGGCUCACUGGCCCGGUACUGACGCUGAGGUGCGAAGCGUGGGAGCAAACAGG